rnacentral:lncRNA from 1 species
CACGAGCUUAAGUCGACUCCAGACUAGUACGAGUCGACUCCGACUGAAAACAGAAAGAAGAACAGAAAGCCUCAUCUCAGAACCUGUCAACGAGUCGACUCCUGAAGUGCGCGAGUCGACUCCAAUGUUCAACGAGUCGACUCCAGGGUAGUAAGAGUCGACUCCAAGAGGUACACAAAGAAAAGUCAGAGAGCAGUUUUCGAGUCUGAGAUUCGAGUCGACUCCAGUGGAGUCGACUCCGAUGGUUGGCAAGUCGACUCCAGAGAAAGCAAGAGUCGACUCUCAGCGGUACACAAAGAAAAGGUCAGAGAGCAUUUUAUGGACUCUGAGAUUCGAGUCGACUCCCGCAAUACGCGAGUCGACUCCGAGACUGUGCGACCAUCGACAGACAGAAAACCAUGUUACUGCCUCUGAGAUUCGAGUCGACUCCCAGACAGCUCGAGUCGACUCCAAGACAAGCUUCACGUCAAAAGGCAGAAGACCAACUUUCGGAAACUGAGAGCCGAGUCGACUCCAAGAAAGUUCGAGUCGACUCCAAGACUGGAUGAGCCAAAAGACAGAGAAUCGGAAGUUCGGGCUCUGAGAUUCGAGUCGACUCCAAGGACAGUCGAGUCGACUCGAGUGGACAAAAUUCAAAAUUGGAUCCACGGACUUCAGUGGAUGAGCCGACUCCAAAAUUGCCAGGUCAGCUCCAGAAGUUGGCGAGUCGACUCUGGGUCAAGACGAGUCGACUCCCAGUCGUGACGGCAACUUUAAUUCAAAUUUGGAAUAGUUGCCGAGUCGACUCCGGAAAAGCUUGAGUCGACUCCCGCUACAGUCGAGUCGACUCCUGAUCGCGCGAGUCGACUCCAACCCACCAACGGUCAUAUUGUCAGGCUGCGCAGAGUGUGCAGAACGGACAGAAAAAGCAGUGUAACAGCUAGUUUCCGUGGGGGUUGGCUUAAAUAGCCACAGAAGACUGUAGCAAGGCAGAGAACAACCAUUCCACUCCAAGCAUUCAAGCUUUCAAGCUCUGCAACGUGCUCUUCAACGAAAA